rnacentral:rRNA from 1 species
AUUGAACGCUGGCGGCAUGCUUUACACAUGCAAGUCGAACGGCAGCGGGGAGGAGCUUGCUUCUCUGCCGGCGAGUGGCGAACGGGUGAGUAAUACAUCGGAACGUGUCGAGAAGAGGGGGAUAACCACCCGAAAGGGUGGCUAAUACCGCAUAAAUUCUGAGGAAGAAAGCUGGGGACCUAGGAAUAGGCCUAGCGCUUUUUGAGCGGCCGAUGUCGGAUUAGCUAGUUGGUGAGGUAAAGGCUCACCAAGGCGAAGAUCUGUAGCGGGUCUGAGAGGAUGAUCCGCCACACUGGGACUGAGACACGGCCCAGACUCCUACGGGAGGCAGCAGUGGGGAAUUUUGGACAAGGGGGGCAACCCUGAUCCAGCCAUGCCGCGUGUAUGAAGAAGGCCUUAGGGUUGUAAAGUACUUUUGUUAGGGAAGAAAAGUCAGCUGUGAAUAAUGGCUGAUACUGACGGUACCUAAAGAAUAAGCACCGGCUAACUACG